CCUACGGGAUGCAGCAGUGGGGAAUAUUGCUCAAUGGGGGAAACCCUGAAGCAGCGACGCCGCGUGCAGGAUGAAGGCUUUAGGUAUGUAAACCUCUUUUGUUAGGGAAGAAAACUACGGUACCUGAUGCAUAAGCCCCGGCCAACUACGUGCCAGCAGCCGCGGUAAUACGGAGGGGGCAAGCGUUAUCCGGAUUCACUGGGCGUAAAGAGUGCGUAGGGGGGUGCGUAAGUCUGAGGUGAAAUCCUGGGGCUUAACCGCGGAACUGCAUUGGAAACUGUGCGUCUAGAGUGCGGGAGAGGUAGGUGGAAUGCGUGGUGUAGCGGUGAAAUGCGUAGAUAUCAAGAGGAACACCGAUUGCGAAGGCGGCCUACUGGAACGUUACUGACGCUGAGGCUCGAAGGCGUGGGGAGCAAACAGGAUUAGAUACCCCAGUAGUC
rnacentral:rRNA from 1 species